GCUUGCUCCACCGGAAAAAGAAGAGUGGCGAACGGGUGAGUAACACGUGGGUAACCUGCCCAUCAGAAGGGGAUAACACUUGGAAACAGGUGCUAAUACCGUAUAACAAUCGAAACCGCAUGGUUUUGAUUUGAAAGGCGCUUUCGGGUGUCGCUGAUGGAUGGACCCGCGGUGCAUUAGCUAGUUGGUGAGGUAACGGCUCACCAAGGCCACGAUGCAUAGCCGACCUGAGAGGGUGAUCGGCCACAUUGGGACUGAGACACGGCCCAAACUCCUACGGGAGGCAGCAGUAGGGAAUCUUCGGCAAUGGACGAAAGUCUGACCGAGCAACGCCGCGUGAGUGAAGAAGGUUUUCGGAUCGUAAAACUCUGUUGUUAGAGAAGAACAAGGAUGAGAGUAACUGUUCAUCCCUUGACGGUAUCUAACCAGAAAGCCACGGCUAACUACGUGCCAGCAGCCGCGGUAAUACGUAGGUGGCAAGCGUUGUCCGGAUUUAUUGGGCGUAAAGCGAGCGCAGGCGGUUUCUUAAGUCUGAUGUGAAAGCCCCCGGCUCAACCGGGGAGGGUCAUUGGAAACUGGGAGACUUGAGUGCAGAAGAGGAGAGUGGAAUUCCAUGUGUAGCGGUGAAAUGCGUAGAUAUAUGGAGGAACACCAGUGGCGAAGGCGGCUCUCUGGUCUGUAACUGACGCUGAGGCUCGAAAGCGUGGGGAGCAAACAGGAUUAGAUACCCUGGUAGUCCACGCCGUAAACGAUGAGUGCUAAGUGUUGGAGGGUUUCCGCCCUUCAGUGCUGCAGCUAACGCAUUAAGCACUCCGCCUGGGGAGUACGACCGCAAGGUUGAAAC
rnacentral:rRNA from 1 species